AACUGGUUGAUAUUCCAGUACCACCAUGUUCGCGACCGUUCCAAUACUUUGUUGCUAAGGGGCUGUGUUGACUUCGGUUAACACGAACCGACCCACAUUGUUGCGGAAAGCUAUAGGGGGACGCAGGAAGGUAGAUGAACCCGGUGAAUGGUAGAACCGGGGUAAGCGUGUAGGAGGAGGACCAGGCAAAUCCGGGCCUCACAUACUCUGAGACGUGAUACCGAGCCGCUUCAGGCGAAGUCAUUAAUCCUAUGCUGCCUAGAAAAGCCCAGUAGCGAGUUGACAUGGUGCCCGUACCCCAAACCAACACAGGUGGACAGGUAGAGCAUACCAAGGCGAGUGGGAUAACUAUGGUUAAGGAACUCGGCAAAUUUCCUCCGUAACUUCGGGAUAAGGAGGACCCCAGUAGCGUGACGAGACUUGCUCUCCGAGCGUGAAGGGGUGGCACAAAAUUGAGGGAAGCGACUGUUUACCAAAAACACAGCAGCGUGCUAAGCCGUAAGGCGCUGUAUACGCUGUGACUCCUGCCCGGUGCUGGAAGGUUACGGGGAUGGGUUAGUCCUUCGGGACGAAGCUCUGAACCUAAGCCCCAGUAAACGGCGGCCGUAACUAUAACGGUCCUAAGGUAGCGAAAUUCCUUGUCGGGUAAGUUCCGACCUGCACGAAUGGAGUAACGACUUCCCUACUGUCUCAACCAUAGACCCAGCGAAAUUGAAGUACGAGUAAAGAUGCUCGUUAGCUGCAGAAGGACGGAAAGACCCCGUGGACCUUUACUAUAACUUGAUGUUGUGUUUUGUCAUAUGUUGUGUAGGAUAGGUGGGAGACAAGGAAGCAUGGACGCUAGUCUGUGUGGAGUCAUCGUUGAAAUACCACCCUGCAUAUGGUGAGGCUCUAACCUAGACCCGUUAUCCGGGUUGGGGACAGCGUCAGGCGGGUAGUUUAACUGGGGCGGUUGCCUCCUAAAGAGUAACGGAGGCGCCCAAAGGUUCCCUCAGCCUGGUUGGCAAUCAGGCGUCGAGUGCAAUGGCAAAAGGGAGCUUGACUGCGAGACCUACAAGUCGAGCAGGAGCGAAAGCUGGGCAUAGUGAUCCGGCGGUUGCGUGUGGAAGCGCCGUCGCUCAACGGAUAAAAGGUACCCCGGGGAUAACAGGCUAAUCUUGCCCAAGCGUCCAUAGCGACUGCAAGGUUUGGCACCUCGAUGUCGGCUCAUCGCAUCCUGGGGCUGAAGCAGGUCCCAAGGGUUGGGCCGUUCGCCCAUUAAAGCGGUACGCGAGCUGGGUUCAGAACGUCGUGAGACAGUUCGGUCCCUAUCCUCUGUAGCCGUAGGUGAAUUGAGGAAAGCUGUCCCUAGUACGAGAGGACCGGGACGGACGCAGCUCUCGUGUGCCAGUUGUCCUGCCAAGGGCAUGGCUGGUUAGCGACCUGCGGAAAGGAUAACCGCUGAAAGCAUCUAAGCGGGAAGCCUCUUCCAAGAUGAAUUCACCCACAGGGUUAACCUGGUAAGGCCCGUGGUAGACCACCACGUUGAUAGGCCGGAAGUGUAAGCGUGGCAACACGUUCAGCUGACCGGUACUAAUCGGCCGAGGGCUUGAAU
rnacentral:rRNA from 1 species